AAAGCAAACAGCCGAAGUUGCUUCAUUUUCAUUUGAAGCAAUUAAGAUUUAACGUUCUGAAACUCUUUUCGAACCAAAAUUGGCACUUGCAAUAAGAGAUUUCUUUCCCACUCACUCUGCGUCUAUCUAAAUCAAAUGGCAUCUAUCCCCUUCACGGACUAUUCCUCCUCCACGGCUACUCGGCUUCUUCCCUUUAGCCGCACCACUUUCCGCCGUAACAGCGCCCUCUUUCUCAGCCGGUUGGUGGGUCCUCUCUCCAUGCGCUCUAGCUCUUUCAGAACCCUCACGGUUGGCUCUUCUUCAGUUUCUUCACUGCCACUCAUAAAUGCUGCAAUCGGUUGCGAGUCGGGUGCUAAGGUGAUUGAUGGAAAGCUGGUGGCCAAGAAAAUAAGGGAGGAGAUAGCUGCUGAAGUAUCGAGGAUGAAGGAUGAAAUUGGUAUUGUUCCUGGGUUGGCUGUUAUUCUUGUUGGGGACAGAAAGGAUUCUGCUACUUAUGUACGAAACAAGAAAAAAGCUUGUGAAUCUGUUGGGAUUAAUUCAUUUGAAGUCCACCUACCUGAAAAUUCCGCAGAACAAGAAGUGCUCAAGUUUAUUUCAGGUUUUAAUGAUGAUCCUUCAGUUCAUGGUAUCCUUGUGCAGUUGCCAUUACCAUCUGUAUGCUUCUAAAUUUUAUCACUUCUUUUUUCUUCUUAUUAUUAUUUUUUGAUGCUACAUCAACAUAAAUGAUAAUUAAUUCGCCCAAACGUUAAAUAAAAUUUUACAAGGUCCAGUAUUUUAUUUCUGGAGCUUGAUAUUAUUGUGUUCAAUCUGUUUGUAACAGCAUAUGAAUGAGCAGAACAUCUUGAACGCUGUUAGCAUUGAGAAGGAUGUGGAUGGCUUCCACCCACUGAACAUCGGCCGUCUUGCCAUGCGAGGAAGGGAACCUUUGUUUGUUCCAUGUACUCCUAAAGGGUGCAUUGAAUUGUUGCAUAGAUAUGGUGUUCAAAUCAAAGGGAAGAGGGCAGUUGUGAUUGGUCGCAGCAAUAUUGUUGGAAUGCCAGCUGCUUUGUUGCUUCAAAGGGAAGAUGCAACUAUAAGUAUCGUCCAUACUAGAACCAAGAACCCUGAGGAGAUCACCAAACAAGCAGAUAUCAUAAUAUCUGCUGUAGGACAACCAAACAUGGUGAGGGGGGAUUGGAUAAAGCCCGGUGCUGUUGUAAUUGAUGUUGGAAUCAAUCCAGUUGAGGAUGCAAAAAGUCCUCGAGGUUACAAGUUGGUUGGUGAUGUUUGCUAUGAAGAGGCCUGCAAGGUUGCUUCAGCUGUCACUCCAGUUCCUGGGGGAGUUGGUCCAAUGACCAUAGCAAUGCUUCUCUCCAAUACGCUUAGUUCGGCAAAGAGGGCACACAAUUUUCAGUGACUUGAAUCAGAAUUUUAAAGUUACUCUUACCGUUUGGGAAAUAUGACCUCGUAGGACUGACCUUUACCGUGUUUUGCUUGAGUUUCCGUUCUUUUCUCAGGAAAGUAUGUCUGUCCAUGUGCUGUCCCUUUACCUUGUUGGUUUAAAUUUAGAUAAUGGUUUAGGAACCAGUUUUGAGGCAUACUGGAUUGUCUUGUUACUGCUAAAUGUAUGUUGGAGCUUUUGGGUUCAAGUACUGUUACUUGGUUAUAUUAUAUUAUAUUAUAUUACAAAUUUUAUAUCAAACCAAAAUCUUGAGUAAAUUUGGCGUUUUAUUUUUCUCAAAACAGGAUUUUUUGAGUUCUUUCUUAUUUCUUCACAAGACUAAUGCAUUGACCUUUUGGGGAAAAAAUUAGGUGGAGAGUUGCAAAGAUUCAUUAGGACCUACUUUAAGGCCACUGGCUACUGGGUUAACAGCUGUUCCCUUGCUGCGGAGUUAUCUUGCCUGAUCAAUACACAUGAGGAUGAGGAAGAACUUUACAUGCAAAAUUGGCAGUUCUUACAUGAUAUAUAUCUCUUUUAUACAUCAUUUGGCUUAUGAAAACCGAGUCUAAAUAAAAAUUUUCCUCAGUCGCUUUUCUGCCAUUCUAGAAUUUGAUUCUUUCAAUCGGUAAACAUUACCUUUAUGUUGGAGAUCUGAUUCUUUUAAACAGACAAAGCAAUUGUGAA
rnacentral:misc_RNA from 1 species